UACCAGCACCCCGAGUGGUCGGGACGAUUAUUGGGCCUAAAGCAUCCGUAGCCGGCCUUACAAGUCCUCCGUUAAAUCCAGCUGCUUAACAGAUGGGCUGCGGAGGAUACUAUAAGACUAGGAGGCAGGAGAGGCAAGCGGUACUCAGUGGGUAGGGGUAAAAUCCGUUGAUCCAUUGAAGACCACCAGUGGCGAAGGCGGCUUGCCAGAAUGCGCUCGACGGUGAGGGAUGAAAGCUGGGGGAGCAAACCAG
rnacentral:rRNA from 1 species